rnacentral:lncRNA from 9 species
GAUGCUGUGUGACCCGCCGUCACCUCGGGGAAGCCGGGGAAACGGGAGGGCCACUCCUUCUCACGCCUCGCUUCCCGCGGUGUGUUUCUACAGACUCGGUGGCGGAGCGCACCGACUGCCGCCAGGAUGAGGAGGCUGCAGGAACUCACGACGACGAUGUUGUGGAGGCCGGUGGGAGUGAGAAGACUGAGGCAAAGCCCCGGGCUGGGGGACAUGAGGACGAGGCGGCCCCAGUACCUGAGGUGGAGGUGGAGGAGGAGGCGGGCCAGCCCCGUGAAAAUGGCCAGGAGGAGUCCUUAGCCAUCGCCUGGGCUGAGCCGGAAGACGAGCCUGGCCCCAAGGUGGACGGGGCGGACGAUGAAAUCUCUUGGAGCUUGGAGAGUGUGUGUGAGAGCGACCUCGCUGACAGCAACCUCGCAGAAAGUGAUCGAGGUAAGAACAGCUCUCAGGUAGGAGCCAGUGGGAGAGGGUUCCCGGGACACUUGGGUUAGGCUGCUGCUUGGAGGGUGGGGCGGGUGAGUGUGCAAUUGCAAAAGAGAAAGAAAUUGGUGUAAAGAUGUUCGUCGCCUAUGUUCCUAAGGAGGGGGAGCAGGUAUGAGAUGCCCCGAA